GACGAACGCUGGCGGCGUGCUUAACACAUGCAAGUCGAACGGGAUAAUUUGAGAGCUUGCUCUUAGAGAAUCUAGUGGCAAACGGGUGAGUAACACGUAGACAACCUGCCGACAGGAUGGGGACAACAUUCCGAAAGGAAUGCUAAUACCGAAUGAAGCGGAGGAGAGGCAUCUCUCCUCCGUGAAAGAUGGCCUCUGAAUAUGCUAUCACCUGUCGAUGGGUCUGCGUCUGAUUAGCUAGUUGGUGAGGUAACGGCUCACCAAGGCGACGAUCAGUAGCCGGGCUGAGAGGAUGAACGGCCACAUUGGGACUGAGACACGGCCCAGACUCCUACGGGAGGCAGCAGUGGGGAAUCUUCCGCAAUGGGCGCAAGCCUGACGGAGCAACGCCGCGUGAGUGAAGAAGGUCUUCGGAUCGUAAAGCUCUGUUGACGGGGACGAACGUGCGAAGGGUGAAUAAUCCUUUGUAAUGACGGUACCUGUCGAGGAAGCCACGGCUAACUACGUG
rnacentral:rRNA from 1 species